CUACUAUUGCUUGAGGAAUUCAAUUCCCCGAAGCUAAAAGAUUGAUACUUUUGUCACCCCGGAGGUUUAAUAUCGUCAUGAUGUACAAAUCUAGGAAAGACACUAAACAUAAAACAUGCAGAACACUGUUUUUCGGUCUCAGGUCAGGCAUACAGAAUAUAAAACAUAAAUUAAUCAAAGAUCUCAGAGCAAGCUACAGAGGAGCUUCUUUUCCAAAAAAAUCACCGGCCAUUCGUAGCUCUAUAGUUAUGUGUCCUUCUCAAGCACAAUGUGGCCAAACUAUAAGAUGCUUUAGCUCUCUUUUACAAUGAUUAGAUAACAGCUUUAAAAAUUGUCGAGAAGAUAGUAUUCAUCUGGUGGUGUCUAGCUUGUUUCUCUCUAUUCUUGAUCAGCUGAAAAUUUACAUUUAACAAUAUGAAAACAAAACCCGUCCAGCAGCAAAUGCAUUAUAAUCAAUUAGCAGUUAAACUAAUGCUCAAGAUUUCACUCAAGGCAUGCCUGGAAUAAAUAGACAGAUACUUGUAAAAUGCUACAAGUCUAACGGACGCCUUACAUGGAAUGUGAAUCCGAUGAAACGCAGAUAAGACCGAAAAAAUAAAAUAAAGACAAGAACAAGGCACGGGGAUCAAACACGUGACCUUGGCUUUGAUGGCAUAAUAGUUACAACUUUAGGCUGAAUCUUAAGGAUUUUAGGUGCAGGCUUGUAAUAUGUUAAACAACAUGGAACAAUUUCAAUGUCAGGUGACAUCCAAACAAAAUCAAAGCCCCACCAAACAUUUUCAUUAUUAUGAUUAUAGAUAAAAACAAACGCAGAGAUGGAGGUGGAAAUUGAAAGGGCCAAAACGUUGAAUGUGUUAUCUAUAGACACCAUUAAUGAAGGAAAUGGACCCCACAGCUAUUCCCAGAAAUCCUCCUUUCGGGCUAUUCACAGAUAUACUUCUCAAGUGGAACAUGAAUGCCUGAAAAAUGGAUACAUAUAACAAUUAUGAUCUCUUAUUCCAAUCUUAAAUUUUCGAUAGUCUCCACAAAGGAGGAAAAAAAAAGUUUUUUAAGGAAUUUUCACGUCACUAUGGCUACCGAAAAUGAUUAAACUUCAUCGGGUAACCCCCGAUCAUAACUUUCAUACCCAUCAUAAUAAUACAUUUCUUGUGCUAAUGCCUUUUAGCCGGGCAUCUCAUCAAUUCUCAGAAAGAAAUGUCAACCUAGCCGAAAGGAUUCUAAAUUCUUUUUAGCAAAAAUUUCAUGAACUACAGACCUUCUACCACUUGUCAUGAUAUCUCUGUAUUAACUUGAUAUUCUGAAAAGAAGCUAACAGAUAUUCCAGCACCAAAAAGUAGCAGCAUCAGAGUUCCAGAUUGUUCACUACUUGCGAUCUUGCAGAGAACAUGCCCAAAGAAGAGAGGGGGGGCAAAAAAGCUCAAGAAGCACCAGCACAAUAGUAGCAACAUCAGAUUUCUAAACUGUUCGAGAAUAUAAAGCAAAAAUACUUGCAAGGACAAUCCCAGCAUUACCAAAUUGAGAAAAACCAAGCACCUUAAUGCAGCGGAAGUUUAAUGUUCUAAUAUUUCGUUGCUUCUCGAGAAUACCAGAAUAAAGAAUGAUCUAAAUUCACAUCAAUUCGAAGGAAUACCAUGAACUUAGGGGCUAAAACUCGUUCAUUCCACGGAAUGCUAAGAAUUUACUAAACUCAAAAACUCACACAAAGCUUUGAAAACUGAAAAUAUUAUUGAACCCCAAUCAACCUUUAAAGGCUACAAGAGAUGGCUACUUAUACUACUUGUAAUUAUCCUAAAUCGUGAAGAAAAAAUGAAAAGAAAGUCCUAAACUACUAAGAAAAUGAAUAACAAACUUUAAACAAGAAGAAACCUAAUUUAAACAUGUUAGGGAUUCCUAAUCUGUAUGACACUUUCAAGAAUGAUCCCAUCAUGAAUAAAAUCAUUUUAGUUCAUGCAAUCUGAAUAGAGAAAUCCAAAUGAUUGCACCGUAUCUUUUUAUUUUAAAAAAUCAUUUGAAAUUGCAUAGACAGGGUUGGCAAUUUAAGGGCCUGGGCCGGGCUUUGCCAAGCC
rnacentral:lncRNA from 1 species